rnacentral:rRNA from 1 species
AAGGCUCUUGGGUUGUAAACCUCUUUUCUCAGGGAAUAAGCAAGUGAAGGUACCUGAGGAAUCAGCAUCGGCUAACUCCGUGCCAGCAGCCGCGGUAAUACGGAGGAUGCAAGCGUUAUCCGGAAUGAUUUGGGCGUAAAGCGUCCGUAAGGUGGCUGUGUGUGUCUAUUGUUAAAGAGUUUGGCUCAACCCAAAUAAAGGGGCGGUAGAAACUACACAGACUAGAGUGCGUUCGGGGCAGAGGGAAUUCCUCGGUGUAGCGGGUGAAAUGCGUAGAGAUCAGGAAGAACACCGGUGGCGAAAGCGCUCUGCUAGGCCGCAACUGACACUGAGGGACGAAAGCUAGGGGAGCGAAUGGGAUUAGAUACCCCAGUAGUCCCUAGCCGUAAACGAUGGAUACUAGGCGUUGAGAGUAUCGACCCUCUCAGUGCCGUAGCUAACGCGUUGUAGUAUCCCGCCUGGGGGAGUACGCACGCAAGUGUGAAACUCAAAAUGAAUUGACGGGGGCCCCGCACAAGCGGUGGAGUAUGUGGUUUAAUUUGAUGCAACGCGAAGAACCUUACCAGGGCUUGACAUGUCUGGAACUCAUGGGGAAACUCGGAGGUGCCUUUGGGAGCCAGAACACAGGUGGUGCAUGGCUGUCGUCAGCUCGUGUUGUGAGAUGUUGGGUUAAGUCCCGCAACGAGCGCAACCCUCGUACUUAGUUGCCGAGCAUUUCGGAUGGGCACUCUAAGGAGACUGCCGGUGACAAACCGGAGGAAGGUGGGGAUGACGUCAAGUCAGCAUGCCCCUUACGUCCUGGGCUACACACGUACUACAUAUGCUACGGACAAAGGGCAGCGAGACUGCGAAGUCAAGCAAAUCUCAUAAACCGUGGCUCAGUUCAGAUCGCAGGCUGCAA